UUUUUCGGGGAGUCCCUAUUCCCACCCUCAGUAUUCCACAUAUAACGAGUCCUGGAGAUUUCCAAACCCCAGCCUGUUAGUGUUCCAACAGGACUAUGGGUCUCUCCUGGGGACGGAGAUCGGCUGUUCCUCUGGCCUCUUCACCGCCAGCCAGACGGGACAGAUGCAAGGGUCGCCGUACUACUACAGCGCGGCAUCGCGAGGGGCGGGACCGGCUGCCACGGCAACUGCCUCCGCCUACGACCGCCACUGACCCCGCCAAUCAACGAUGAAGAGGAGGAUGAGGAAGAGGAGGAAGAAAGGAGAGAUAGCACCAGCACUGUCCAAUAGUAGCCUGCCAACUGACAGAGGAGGAAGUAGAGGAGGAGAAACAGGAAGGAGAGGAGGAGAAACAGGAAGGAGAGGAGGAGGAAGGAGAGGAGGGGGAAGGAGAGGAGGAGGAAGGAGAGGAGGAGAAACAGGAAGGAGAGGAGGAGGAGGAAGGAGAGGAGGAGAAACAGGAAGGAGAGGAGGAGGAAGGAGAGGAGGAAAAACAGGAAGGAGAAGAGGAGGAAGAGGAAGUGGACGAAGAGGACGAGGAGGAAGAUCUGCUUUACAUCAGUAAACUCCCGACUGCGCGCUUUUGAUUGACACUCGAGCCGACCAAUCCCUGCUGAGCUGAGACACUGACCUAUUGCUAUUGCACCUGUUACGAUAACGUGGAAUAAACAGGAAGGAUGCACCCACAGAGACUGAUCCCAGGUCAGAUUGGAGAGUUUACCACCUAACGGGUAGGGUUAGGAUCUGAGGAGGGCAAGCUGAUCCCAGGUCAGAUUGGAGAGUUUACCACCUAACGGGUAGGGAUAGGAUCUGAGGAGGGCAAGCUGAUCCCAGGUUAGAUUGGUUGUUAUUAUAUACACCAGGACUAUUCGACUGUAGUUCAGAGCUCUCCUGGUUGUCACCUGGUUGUCAUCCUGCCCCUCUAACCAGGGACUGAUUCAGACCUGGGACACCAGGUAACUAGACUGUCUGGCCAAUCACUGACAUUAAUCAAUCAAUCAAUCAAUCAAUGAACUACUAGCCAGGGAGACUAGCCGCCCAGCAGAGACAAAGACCUGGAGAGAUGGAACUGAACAGCCUCCACAUUACAGCCUGAUAAGUACAACGUAGAGGGUGAAUCCCAAUAGGAUCUCCUUUCUCCUGAAGUGUACACUCGUUCACUACUUCCCACUAAUCUAAAACCAUUGGAUUGGUAGAGGCUUUUUUUAAAUUAAUUAUUGUUAUACCAGUCAUUUCCUUUGAACUCAGUGAAGGGAAGUGAAGAAAGUGCCUACUUUGGGAGGAAGGACGGCAGACAGACAGACAGACAGGCAGACAGACAGGCAGACAGACAGACAGGCAGGCAGACAGGCAGACAGACAGGCAGACAGGCAGGCAGACAGGCAGGCAGGCAGGCACAGAAUAUGAGCCACCCGAGUUUCUGGUGAAUAAGAUGGAUAUAUAUAGAGUGAGAGAGAGAGACAGAGAGAGAGAGAGAGAGAGAGAGACAGAGAGAGAGACAGAGAGAGAGAGAGAGAGAGAGUAAUAUAUUUAAAUCCCUUUUCGCUGCACUCAAAAGUGACCGUAUAAUUAUGGCUCUGUCUUUCCGUUUUUAGAGGUGAUUUCCAUUAUUUUCACACAUCCUGAAUAUGCUAACGAGUAACCAGGAAGUAGUAAUGGUGGCCACACCCCCCUCUCUCUCUCUCUCUCUCUCUCUCUCUCUCUCCAAAAUCCCCAAAGAUAGUGGUGCCCCCCCCCCCAGUGGUGUGGCUGACUAACGACAAGAAGCACAAAGUGACCCAAAUCACCUUCAUAUAGACGCCAUUUUGACUUCUUCUUCUCCUUCUCCGUGCUUGUCUUCCAUUAGACAUUCGUUCUUCAGUGGGAGAAUAAACUGAAACCUAUGGUUUUUCUCCCCCCCCUCCCCCCCUCUAUGUGUUCUGCGCUGUGACAAUGCAUGAGUUAGGCCUUUACUGAUACUCUGACACACACCAGUAUGCAGGGAACUGUCCCUAGUCACUGAUCUAAGGUCAGUUAUAUACCCCCUCCAAUGGUUAAGGAUAGGACCUGGGAGAGGCUAAACUGAUUCUAGAUCUGUGGUUAAGAGCAGGUUCUAGCCUUUUUAGUGCCAUUUCUCGCGUAACCGGCCCGUCUGUAUGAGAUUUGUAUAUUUAAAAAAUCACUUAAAAGAAGGACUAAAUAAGUCUAGAUAUCAAUAUCGAUUUUGAAAUAUUCAUGAUAUUUAAACAUUUUAGAUUUUAGUGACAAAAAAAAUUUUCAAAAAAAUUGAGAAUAAAAAAGGUGUGAUGUAGUUUUUAGCCUGAGAGUGACUUGUUGUUGUUUUGGAUACUCUCUCUGUGUGUGUGUGUGUGUGUGUGUGUGUGUGUGUGUGUGUGUGUGUGUGUGUGUGUGUGUGUGUGUGUGUGUGUGUGUGUGUGUGUGUGUGUGUGUGUGUGUGCAGUUGUAGCUGUCUGGUUGGAAGGAACCAAAACUGAACAUAAAGAGAUAUAUAUAUAUAUAUAUCUAUAUAUAUCUAUAUAGCUACAGAAAACUACUGAACAAACUGUUGUUUCAAUCUCUGUUGUAAAAUAAAUAGCGAUAGAAAAUAAUCCUUCAGUUACACAUUUGUAGACCUUAAUAAAGUUGUUUUGUAUGCAACUCUAAAGAAAACCCCUUACUGUGGUUCGCCUCGUGUGCUCGAUAUGGGUAAACCCUGUGGACUUAGUAUUACUAGAACGGACAUUCUAGAACCACCAGACAUUCUAGAACACAUGGACAUUCUAGAACCACUAGACAUUCUAGAACCACUAGACAUUCUACAACCACUAGACAUUCUACACCCACUAGACAUUCUACAACCACCGGACAUUCUACAACCACUAGACAUUCUACACCCACUAGACAUUCUAGAACCACUAGACAUUCUAGAA